rnacentral:rRNA from 1 species
CAGCAGCCACGGUAAUACGAAGGGGGCUAGCGUUGUUCGGAAUUACUGGGCGUAAAGCGCACGUAGGCGGAUAUUUAAGUCAGGGGUGAAAUCCCGCAGCUCAACCCCGGAACUGCCUUUGAUACUGGAAGUCUUGAGUAUGGUAGAGGUGAGUGGAAUUCCGAGUGUAGAGGUGAAAUUCGUAGAUAUUCGGAGGAACACCAGUGGCGAAGGCGGCUCACUGGACCAUUACUGACGCUGAGGCGCGAAAGCGUGGGGAGCAAACAGGAUUAGAUACCCGAGUAGUCCCUGUCUCUUAUAC